rnacentral:rRNA from 1 species
UACGGGGGGAGCAAGCGUUGUUCGGAUUUACUGGGCGUAAAGGGCGCGUAGGCGGUCGUGACAAGUCACUUGUGAAAUCUCCGAGCUUAACUCGGAAAGGUCAACUGAUACUGUGCGGCUAGAGUGCGGAAGGGGCAACUGGAAUUCCUGGUGUAGCGGUGAAAUGCGCAGAUAUCAGGAGGAACACCGAUGGCGAAGGCAGGUCUCUGGGCAUUAACUGACGCUGAGGAGCGAAAGCAUGGGGAGCGAA